rnacentral:rRNA from 1 species
GUCAGAGGUGAAAUUCUCGGAUUUAGGAAAGACUUGACUUCAGCGAAAGCAUUUGCCAAGGACGUUUUCAUUAAUCAAGAACGAAAGUUAGGGGAUCGAAGACGAUCAGAUACCGUCGUAGUCUUAACCAUAAACGAUGCCGACCAGGGAUCGGGAGACGUUACCUCGAUGACUCUCCCGGCACCUUGCGGGAAACCACAAGUCUUUGGGUUCCGGGGGGAGUAUGGUCGCAAGGCUGAAACUUAAAGGAAUUGACGGAAGGGCACCACCAGGAGUGGAGCCUGCGGCUUAAUUUGACUCAACACGGGGAAACUUACCAGGUCCGGACAUAGGAAGGAUUGACAGACCGAUAGCUCUUUCUUGAUUCUAUGGGUGGUGGUGCAUGGCCGUUCUUA